rnacentral:rRNA from 1 species
AAAGGGGAGAAAAGUCUUAACACAAUAGGCCCACCGGAAGGCGGGUUUGGAAAAU